rnacentral:piRNA from 1 species
GUAAAGCUCAAAGCACACAUUGCACCUCA